rnacentral:lncRNA from 1 species
UUUUCAGAAAUUACUAUAAAAUGUAUUAUUGGAACAUAAAUAAGUUUCCUUGUAUGAUGAUUUGUCUCUUUCUUAUUUUUUUUUAAACUUUCCCAUUGGUGUUAUUUAUAUUUCCAGUGGGGAUUUCCAUAAUUACUGGAGAGAUAUUCUAGUGUUUAUUAAUAUGUGAACAGAAACUGUGUCAAGUUCACUGAAUUUUUCACUUUAAAAUCGUUACUGUUAUGCGAUUUCACUUUAAUAAAAAUGUUAAUUAAAGAAUCUUUGGCAUUUAAAUUAUGUGCCAUGUGUAAUUAACACUAUUACU